CGAGGCCCGGCUGGCCGGAGGCGUUGCGGACGUCGACGGUGACCGUGGACCUGUCGAACUUCGGGUCCGCCGGGUUCGACGUCCCCGGGGCCUUGCC
rnacentral:tRNA from 1 species